ACGACCAUAGCACAUUGAAAACAUUGUUCCUUGUCGGAUCAACGAAGUUAAGCAAUGUCGGGCCCGGUCAGUACUUGGGAGGUUGACCACUUGGGAACAAAUGAUACUCUAGGCU